rnacentral:lncRNA from 1 species
AGAGCUCGAGGAGGUAGAAAAGGGUGGAUCGAAGCUCGGUAGAUGUUCUUCCCACUCCCCCAUGCCCCCUCCUUUUUUCUUCACAUCUUUUAACCUUCAAGGUUCACUACGUCAGGAUGAGUGUGUUCCACUUCUGCUGCUUGAGGUGUGCGCAGUGGGAGCAGAUGAAGAUGUGGGACUCAUGGCUCAGUAAAAACUCUUCACAACAAUCAUGAGAAGGGGAAAUCACGUCUCAUUAGAAUGUGUCUGUAAGUUUUUCUUCAUCUUAAAGAAAAGUGCAUUUAUCUCCGAAAGAAAGCAAUAUUUCUCCCUGAAGUGUACAUUUUCUAAGUUGAAUUAAAACCAGAAUGGGUGUGGUUGUGGAACUCUUUAUUCUCAAACCCAGAAACUUUAUAAUUCACUGCAAUACACCCAAAUAUGUCUCAUCCCUCUACCACGUCCAUAAUAAUUAUAAUUUUUAUCUCUGACUUUUUUUAAACUCUAAAGUGCUUUGUGAAUCCAGGUGAAUAUAUAAUAGACAGCACCUUCUGCGGGAGUGAAAAGAAGAAACCCUUGAUUUGUCUUUAAAGGUGCUGUCUUUAAGCAAUAUGAUGUUAAAAUGUUUUGUCUUAGCACAAGGUAUUCAUUUUGAAGAAUUUAUCUGGAGGACUCUAUGUAGUAAGCUGAAUGAAGAGCCUUUACUUAAUGUGAUAAAAGAAUAGUAUUUUUAGAAAAUCAUGUUUCUAGGAAAUCUACUUGGCCGUUGGAUUACUAGUCUAGAAAAUGAUGGUGAUAGAGUAAUAAUAAUUCUUGGUUCUGGCCAGGCACUUUACAAACAUUCCCUCAUUCAGUCAUAAUAAUAUCCUUGUGAGACCAGCAUCAUUAUUUUACUGAUGAAGAAAACGAGGAUAAGUCUAAUAGCUAGUAGUGGACUUGCCCCUGUGGCUGUGGAACCCUGAAGACUGCACUCUUAUCAUAUAAGGCAUUUCCAGUCUGAUAUCUACAGGACAGAGGCCUGGAGGUUGGAAAACCAUUUCUACCCUCUUAACAUUCCAUUUUUCCUUUACAAAAUCAAAGAGAGUCAAUGAAACAGUUCCAGAAUUUCGCAGUGUAGUCCAG